rnacentral:lncRNA from 1 species
UUAUUGAUCGACGGAUCGUGACUCGACGACGACGACCCACUACUAAAGUGCUAAUACAAUGGGUGAACCUACCAACAGAAGAUGCCACUUGGGAGAACUAUGAUGACUUGAAGAACAAAUUCCCAAAAUUCAUGAAUCGUCAGCCUCGAGGACAAGGCUGAUUUGAAGAGGGCGGGUCUGUUAGGACUCUAGCUAGUAGAGUCCUAAUUAAGA